rnacentral:lncRNA from 1 species
UGUACUGAACCAGAAAAUCCUAGUUCCCCCAUUGCAUAUGAACCAGACAUGGCAGGAAACCCAACCUGAGCCUUACUGAAAGAACCUGCAAUAGCAAGAACAUAAAGAUGCUUAAAUCCCUGGCACAGCAUAAAAACCAGUCAUGCAUGCAUAGUUGUCUGAAAGAGGACUUACAGCAAUUGUGUUCUAAUUAACAAAUGAUCAGGAGUUCAAGGUACCAGAAGACAAAUUCACAUUAUCCAACCCUCAAACAUACUUCAUUGGAUAUGAAGUGGAAAAAAACCAGUCAUAAUAGACCACUCUUGAUCAGUGUUCAAUACGGAGUGAUUAGGGCGCCGUCUAGGCAUGAUUAAUUGCUAGGCAGACCAAAAAUGCUUAGUAGGCCCUAGGCGGCACAGAAUGCGGUGGUGUCAUUAAUGAUUGCCUAGGCGGCAAUUAGGCGUGAUUAAUCGCAGCUAUUAGGCUUGAUUAAUCGGCAUCAGGCAAAAUUAGACUUGAUUAGAUGCCGAGCAGAAUUUAAUCUGUAAACUUGUGAACACUUUUGUUUGCUGUUAAGUGUUAAGUAAGUGAUAAAUCAUUUGAACUAAAGCGUUGAAGUGCUGCGAAAAUGCUAUUUCAAUAAUCAAUUCUAAGAUGGAAGCCGCCAGGCUGGCAUAAACCUCCAUUUUGUGUUCCAUCGCCAAGGCGCACCUAGGCAACGUCUAGGCGAGCUAGGCACUAGACAACCAACCUUGUCCCUAGCACCUUCUUCAACCUUUCCUAUGCUACAACAGCAUGCAUACAUACACUACCAAGGAGUAGGGGCAGUAUGGUCACAAAGAACAUCCAACUCACACUAUGUUAAUACAUUAGAGCAGCAUGAACUAUUUAAAAUGAGAAGA